CUAAUAUUAAAUUAUUUAAAAAACAAAUAUCAUUACGGCAUUGGAAAAACAUAAAUUUUGAUGAUAACGCAAAUAAUAUUUAUGAAACUUUUUUCAAAACAUUUUUUUCUGUUUAUGAAAUUAAUUUCCCAAUUAUAGAAAAACAUUAACAACUAAGAAUAUCAAUACACCUAAAGGUUUUGAAUAUUACUAUAGGUUUUAAAAAGUUAUACAUAAGUUUUAAAAAAAACAGCUUCAAGCGAAAAAAUCUAUAAGAACUACAAAAACCUAUUUGAAAAAAUUUGCAAAAACUUAUAGAAAAAUUAUUACUCCCAAUUGUUCAAUACAUUUAAAAACGACACAAAGCACACGUGGCAAAUAAUGAAAGAAAUUAUUGGCAAAAAAAAAUCAUGCUCCAGUUUUCUUCCACAAAUGGCUAGAGUCGAUAACAUAAGUUUAUAUGAACCAAAAACUAUAGCUCAAGAAUUUAACAAAUAUUUCUCUCAUAUAGGACCAACACUGUCUGAAAAAAUCCCAAGGACCAAAUCUUUGUUUACUGAUUAUCUAGAACCCCUGGAUAAUUGCAUUUGUUCAGAUGAGUUAUCUUCCGAAUUAAUGUUUGAUGAAUUUGAAAGAGCCUUUAAAUCUGUUAAAAAAAUAAGGAGCGGUCUACUUUUUUUAUUGUUUAUAUACACCUUUAUGUUUAUAGAGGUUUAUUCAUACUUAUUUUAUUUAUUGUUCUUAUACUUUUUACUUUUAUAUGUUGGUUUACUCUUGUAUAAAAAUCUGAUGAGAAGAUCCACUUGUUCUUUCUUCAGACACAGGUUCUGACGACAAGAUCCUUGCGACCAUCUUUCAGAUACCUUGUUUAUGUUUGUUAUGUUUUACGUCAUUGUAAAAUUAUAUUAUUAUUUUUAUUAUGGGUUAUUUAAAGCUGUACAACGAUUAACAAAUGUAAACCAAAAAAAACAAAAAAACAAACACUUACAUUCCACACAAAGAAAGCAAAAACACAAUGUUACAUUAUAUGAGACUUAUACCUAGAAUAAAAUAUAAGCUAAAUUA